rnacentral:rRNA from 1 species
GAUGAACGCUGGCGGCGUGCCUAAUACAUGCAAGUCGAGCGAACGGACGAGAAGCUUGCUUCUCUGAUGUUAGCGGCGGACGGGUGAGUAACACGUGGAUAACCUACCUAUAAGACUGGGAUAACUUCGGGAAACCGGAGCUAAUACCGGAUGAUAUUUUGAACCGCAUGGUUCAAAAGUGAAAGACGGUCUUGCUGUCACUUAUAGAUGGAUCCGCGCUGCAUUAGCUAGUUGGUAAGGUAACGGCUUACCAAGGCAACGAUGCAUAGCCGACCUGAGAGGGUGAUCGGCCACACUGGAACUGAGACACGGUCCAGACUCCUACGGGAGGCAGCAGUAGGGAAUCUUCCGCGAUGGGCGAAUGCCUGACGGAGCAACGCCGCGUGAGUGAUGAAGGUCUUCGGAUCGUAAAACUCUGUUAUUAGGGAAGAACAUAUGUGUAAGUAACUGUGCACAUCUUGACGGUACCUAAUCAGAAAGCCACGGCUAACUACGUG